UACGUAGGGGGCGAGCGUUGUCCGGAGUUACUGGGCGUAAGGGCAUGCAGGCGGUCGGACGCGUUUCGGGUGACAGCGGGUGGCUUAACUACCCGAGUGGUCGAAAGACGGUUUGACUUGAGGACGCGAGAGGGACACGGAAUUCCGGGUGGAGUGGUGAAAUGCGUAGAGAUCCGGAGGAACACCGAAGGCGAAGGCAGUGUCCUGGCGCGUAACUGACGCUGAGGUGCGAAAGCCAGGGGAGCGAACGGG
rnacentral:rRNA from 1 species